rnacentral:lncRNA from 1 species
CAAUGCCUCUAUGGCAAUGCCAAGAAGCAGAAGGAGAUAUACACCAAGUCCUAUCAUUCAGGAUUUGGUGAGGGAAUCUCAACCAUUUGAGGAAGGUCAGUAAUAAGCAUGGGGGGAUUAGAGGUGUCUUCAUCUCAUUUUAUCUGCUCCACGAUGCCUUGCUCUUAUUCUAUGGCCUCGGCUUCAUCUUCCUCCUACUCCUCG